GUCGAACGCGAAAGUUCCCUUCGGGGAGCGAGUAGAGUGGCGCACGGGUGAGUAACACGUAGGUAAUCUACCUUUGGAUGGGGAAUAACCCCGAGAAAUCGGGGCUAAUACCGCAUAAUGCAGCGGCACCUAAUGGUGACAGUUGUUAAAGCGGGGGAUCGAAAGACCUCGCGUCUGAAGAGGAGCCUGCGGCGGAUUAGCUAGUUGGUAAGGUAACGGCUUACCAAGGCUAUGAUCCGUAACCGGCCUGAGAGGGCGGUCGGUCACACUGACACUGACAUACGGGUCAGACUCCUACGGGAGGCAGCAGUCGGGAAUUUUGGGCAAUGGGCGAAAGCCUGACCCAGCAACGCCGCGUGAAGGAUGAAAUCCCUCGGGAUGUAAACUUCGCAAGAACAGGAAGAAUAAGUAAGAGUUAAUAUCUCUUACGAUGACGGUACUGUUUGUAAGCUCCGGCUAACUCCGUGCCAGCAGCCGCGGUAAUACGGGGGGAGCAAGCGUUGUUCGGAUUUACUGGGCGUAAAGGGCGCGUAGGCGGCCAUUGCAAGUCGGUUGUGAAAUCUCCGGGCUUAACCCGGAAAGGUCAAUCGAUACUGCAGGGCUAGAGUGCAGAAGGGGCAACUGGAAUUCUCGGUGUAGCGGUGAAAUGCGUAGAUAUCGAGAGGAACA
rnacentral:rRNA from 1 species